rnacentral:rRNA from 1 species
AGCGGCGAACGGGUGAGUAACGCGUGGAUAACCUGCCCUGAGGUGGGGAACAACCAGGGGAAACUCUGGCUAAUACCGCAUAACACCGAGAGGUCAAAGGGGGCUCGCAAGAGCUCCUGCCACAGGAGGGGUCCGCGUUCGAUUAGCUAGUUGGUAGGGUAAUGGCCUACCAAGGCGACGAUCGAUAGCCGGCCUGAGAGGGUGAUCGGCCACACUGGAACUGAGACACGGUCCAGACUCCUACGGGAGGCAGCAGUGGGGAAUUUUGCGCAAUGGGCUAACGCCUGACGCAGCAACGCCGCGUGGAGGAUGAAGGUCCUUGGAUCGUAAACUCCUGUCAGCAGGGAAAAAGGGAGGCGACCUAAUACGUCGCUGACUUGAUUGUACCUGCAGAGGAAGCCCCGGCUAACUCUGUGCCAGCAGCCGCGGUAAUACAGAGGGGGCAAGCGUUAUUCGGAAUUAUUGGGCGUAAAGGGCGCGUAGGCGGCCUGACAAGUGACGGGUGAAAGCCCUCGGCUUAACCGAGGAACUGCCUGUCAUA